CAGCGUGCGCUCUCAGACCAGGAAGUAGCAGUAGAGAGGAGCUCCGUGGUCCUGUGUUGUGUCCGCGGCAUUGUGUGACAGGAGUAGCUGUCCUCUCCUCCGGGCAGCGGGGAGGAGGGGGAGUAGUGGCGGCGGCUGGAGGAUGUGUGCUGGGAACAGUAUAUGGCCGCCCGGCUGGGUGACGUGCGCCCUGUGCGUGCUGGUUACUCUCUGCUGUGUGCCCUACGUACAUAGCUCCCUGGGCCCCAGAGCAGCUGCCAUAGCAUCUCCGACCGGUGCCAGCGGCCCGCAGCCUCCCGUAGCCGUCAAUGGGAGUAGUUCAAUCACUGCCAAGGGCGAUCUGUCCUCCACCGUGCCCACUCCGGCCGCCCCCAAGCCUCAGACCCAGAGGGCCCUGGCGGUGCUGGUGGUGGUGAGCGCUGCCGUCAUUAUUUACUUCGUCAUCAGGACCAUCAGGACAAGAAGAAAAAAUAAGAAAACUAGAAAAUAUGGCGUAUUAGAUACAAAUAUAGGAAAUAUGGAGCUAACUCCCUUAGAACAAGAGGAAGAAGAUGACGACACUUUGUUUGAUGCCAAUCAGCCUCGAAGAUAGAAGGCAGCUUUCUAGAUCUAAUGGAGCCUGCUUUUUCAUAGUGCCAUAGGAUGUCAAGUAAACGCAUGACAGGAUUGAUGUCCGACCCCUUCUCUGUAAAGAUAAGAUGAUGCCUUUUAUUGUACGAUGUUGUUGACAACACGAAGACGGCCGGAGUGAAGAAAGAGAAUACAUUUGCAUACCUUAUCAAUGCUUUUUUUUGUACAUACCUUAUAGCAUUAUGAACAUGUAAGUCAUACGUUCCUUAUUAAAAACACAAAUAUUCUUGUUUAAGAGCUGGUUAUUAUUUGCCUCAUUUCUGUGGUACAUUUUAUUAUUUUUUCCCUUGUCAGUGUCAAACUUUGUAAUAAUAUGUUAUUUAUAUUUCCAUGUGAAAGAUGUUUUGUUAAUUUGCAAAUAACAUCAAUAAUGCUUUUUAUUGUAAAUAGUGUCAAUAAAAGGGUACACUAAG